rnacentral:rRNA from 1 species
AUUCUUUUAAUCGAGAUUUUUGCCUUCGGGUACAAUUGAGACAGGUGGUGCAUGGUUGUCGUCAGCUCGUGUCGUGAGAUGUUGGGUUAAGUCCCGCAACGAGCGCAACCCUUGUGUUUAGUUGCAAACAGGUCAAGCUGUGCACUCUAGACAGACUGCCGUGGACAACACGGAGGAAGGUGGGGAUGACGUCAAAUCAUCAUGCCCCUUAUGAUCUGGGCUACACACGUGCUACAAUGGCCGGUACAACGGGCAGCGAAGGAGCGAUCCGGAGCGAAUCCUAAAAAGCCGGUCCCAGUUCGGAUUGCAGGCUGAAACUCGCCUACAUGAAGUUGGAGUUGCUAGUAAUCGCGAAUCAGAAUGUCGCGGUGAAUGCGUUCCCGGGUCUU